rnacentral:lncRNA from 9 species
UGUUCCAUCCUUCAAUGAGGAAAUGCAAGGCUACUAAAAACAGAUCCAGAGGUUACACAGCUGGCUUGUAAAGCCAGCUGGAUAUGAUACUGAACCACAGUGACGAAAACCCUGGGAGCCGCAUGCCGAGCCCUGGGGGCUCUGAUGCUCUGCUUUGGUAUCAUCGCCAACCUCCCUGGUCCACUUUGGGGUGCUGGCUGCUUUGUUUCUUAACUGAUGGAGUGGUUGUAGAAUUCUAUGACUUUGGAGUCGAAGGUGCUCGAAGUUUAGCCCUCAUGGCCUUGGUGCAGUGGUGUUUCCAUGUGGUUUGUGAAGACAUACUUACAGAAGGUACCCCACUUCUCUUAUACCAACUCCUCUGGGGUUACCCCCAUGGUCUCUGCUUCCUUCUUCUGUGAGAGGAAAUUUAUUUGCAUCCACUGUCAUAGGAGAAAAAAAAUGACACCUUUGGGGACAAACCCUAUCUUCUAGACUCUGUUCAACUCUCAAAAGCACUUUUCCUGCUCCUGUUUCCUGUCUCUACUUGCAGAGGUGCUCUGGUGAUACCUCCCUAAGGUUGAGUGAAUUUGGUUUCUGCCUGAGGAUCUCCUGAAAUGCCCACUUGGCUUCCCUAGAUGUGGAUCUCAAAACAGAGAUUGUUUUCUCAUAAUUGAAAGAAGACUCAAAUUCUGAUAUUUAGCUUUGAUGCAUCUGACACAUAUACAUGGAUGCUUCCCAAAUGCAGAGCAGUUCUGAGUGAAAUACUAAGAGCAGUUUCAGGAGACUGACACAGGGUUACCCACUUCCAGGAAGUCCUACCCUUCUCAUAUUCAGGGCCCAGAGUAAGAGAAUAAAGGCAAGCCCAC